ensembl:snRNA U5 U5 spliceosomal RNA
UUACCCGGUUUCUCUUUGGAUCAUAUAAAUCGUAUAAAUCUUUCGCCUUUUAGUAAAGAUUUCCGUGGAGAGGAACAUUUAUGAGUUUCUAACUGAUUUGUCGUGACCCUUUCCCCGCUGCAGUGGA